AUCAAUCUCGCCGAGCCCCGCGGCAUCCCUCUGCCACGCCGCUCGUCUUUGCCGGCAGGAGAAGCACCUUCCUGGCAGGUCCAUCCUCACUCCCAGGCGGUAUUAGGUGCUCUUUCUCCUCUCUUCCUCUCCUACCUCUUCCCCAUCAAAUUUUAGUGCUUGAUCUGUUUUGCCUUUGCAAAGGGAUGUAGCCUUGGGCUUUAUCCGUGAGGUUGAAUGAUCUGAUCUACUUUGGAUAUGCUUUCUCUGGCUUCAUGACAUUUUUGCUUGCCAGGUGUUUGACGAAUUGUGUACAUGGGAUAUUCUAUGGUUAUGGUGCUCCAGGAUGUGAGUUCGAUCUAGCUAAUAUUUAUGCUCCAUCCUGCUAUUUGUAAUCUUGCAAUUAAAAUAAGAGCAUGUUAUGGAGAGAGAUUUCAUAUGAGCUUUUGUUUCAUAUACUUGUAUUCAACUGUACCUGAUUUUUGUUGUUGGAUGCUUCAAUAUUCUGUACAGUUGUGCUAAAUAGACUGGCAGAAGAAAAACCACGUAAUUUUGAUUUUUAAGUGCAAAGGCUUCAUCUCUUAUGUGUAUAUCAGAUGAUGCAAGGCAUGUCAGUGUUAUUUCUAGAUAAUAUUUAUGGUUUUUUAUGUAGGUUUGUGCAGAAACAUCAAUUAUUUGUUGCCGUUGGCGUAAAUAAAUCAAGAAAAUACAGUAGGUAUGGUUUGGGUACAUUUUACUCCAAGUAAAAUAUUAAUCAACGUUUGCUCUCUCAUGUGAUUUGGUCUUCUGCUCACGUGUGACAACGGUAGAUGUGUGACAACUUAUUCAUGCAGGUUUUUGUGUUUAUUACCCACCAGGUUUCAUCGAAGUGCAAUAAAGAUUGAAUAUUAUGCCCACUCGGUCUUCGUAGCCACACAGGAAUAUGUUGUUUCAUUAAUGGACAAUAGAGAUUUAAACUUUGGUACACUCUUGCUUUGAGCGGUGCUAAUGAUCGCACAUUGGUUUGCAAUUUUUUGUGCAUUUGGUACAAGUUUACAUCUAGGUUCGGAUUGUUUUUCUCUAGAAAAACCUUCGAGAAAGAUUAUAUUGCUGCUUAUUGCACAUUUUCUUGAUGUUUGUGAGGAGUUUUUAGUUCUAUCUCCUUCCAAUUUGUUUAGCUCAUUUGUGUAAGCCAGAGAAACUAAAACAUGUUUCUUCAGUUGACAUCAAAUGCAUGGAUUUAAUUAUAAGCUUCUAAAUGAUCUGCUUAAUAAGCGCUCGUGGAGAUGGUAGCUUUCUGAUGUUGUUUCAGGUCAGAAUGUUUCUAUUGAGAUGGCACAGCUUUGCCUAUUUGCCUUUUCAUUAAAUAUCAAAAUGUUGUUAUUAAGCUUUGUAUUGCCCACAACUUUGAUUUAACUAAUCUUUAGAAAAUGCGUGCCUAUCCAAUUGACAUAAUAAGCUUAUAGUUUGCUUCAUGGGGCUCAGUUGCGAUGCAAAAUGCCAGUAUAUGACACUCGGGUUCUAUCUUCUGCAGAUCAGUGGCUAAUAAAAAUGCAUGAGCAUUUAUACUGUCGAUGUUGAUAUCUCUCCCUGAAGUUACAAAAGGACAAAAUGAGUCAUAUUAGAAUUUGGGGUUAUUGUUUUAGUACCUAAGGUGGAUUCUUAUGCUCUACAGUGGUGCAGUCAAAUGAUUCUGGUUUAGAUGAGUAUGAAACAACGGAGAUGAUGCUGAUCCCUAGAGCCCUAUUAUGCUUUUGAAUUUCCUUUCACGCUUACUUUGGAUGUCACAAAUCAGUUGGGUGUAUUGGAUUUCUCUUCUAUUUUGUUAGUCCUCCUCACCCGUUUGCACCGGUUGUCUUGAUGGAAGAGUAGUGCAUCCUGCAGUUUGCGCCACCACUACGUGUCGUGCCCUCGCCAGGAGGAGCAGCUGGUAGCCCGCGUCCAUCUCAGCUUGCAUGGGGCCGCCUAUAUCGCCUGCCCCUCUUCUUGGUGCGCGGUGGCUGGCUGGUCAGACGUUUUUUUUUGCUUUGCUGCCUGCAAUUGCUGGCCCGCGGCUCGCCUAUGUUGUGUGGGCUGAGAUGAACACCACUGGAUUCAAUGUUGAUUGAGUGGCUUGGGAAGGGGAGUAAGGCCGUGGCUUGCGAGGUAAAAGGGUAGAGAAACGUUGUUGUUGAGGCUGCUCCCAGAGCAGAGAUCUUCAAUGGCGAUGAAGGGGAAUUCCAGUGCCCACACAAGUUCCUCCAUUUGGCGCUAUUAGAUGGAUUGCUGGUGGAGCUCAUUGUGUUUGUGAAGGUAUCUAAUAUUGUUGAUGAUCCAAACCCUCCCCUGCCCCAUCUACUACGUCUUCGACAGUUAACACAAGGUUGCUUUCAUAUUUUGUUCCGAGCUUAUUUGAUCGUUUGGUUGACAGAAGAUAAAAAACGGACCUAGGUUGGUUGGUGAGCUAACUCAAGUAAUAACUUACAAUUUCUAUUUGUCCUUCUGUCGACCACUGCUGUAGAUGUAUUUAUCUUGCUGUUAUCCCCUACUCCAUAUAGCCCCUACUGGAGCACCAUUAGAAGUAGCAGCGACAAGCAACAACAUCAGUGCUUCCAUCGUCCAGCUGGUACGGCUUCCUUGCCUUCGCCCCAUGCUUUGCCAUCCCUACCAGUAGGAGCACAACAGAAAUGUGAUGAUAGCCUCCGCCAACCAUGGCCAGAAAGUAGAUAUGCUACCCCCUCAAAUGUCUCCUUACUGUAAUUAGUUUAAGUGUUGUUGCUUACAACCUCCGCAAACCAUAGUCAGAAAGUACAAGCUAUGCCACUCUGUCAAAUGCUUCCUUACUGUAAUUAGUUUAAGUGUUGUGGUGCAUUUGGUGCUAAUAAUAUGUAGGAUAACGUAUCCAACAUACUUAAUCUUCCAGAUUGUUGGAUGCACUAUUUGUUUGGAGGCGCUACCAAUGCUGUUGUGAAAUUUCAUUACAUGAGAAAAUAUAAGAUUUCAUUGUUGGGGAUUUGUAGCAGAUAUUGUUCCUGAGCACCAAUACUACUUUCUUUUAUCGCUGCCUACUCAUAUACUAUUUUCAGUACUUCAGGUCUUACUUGACGAUACAGAUUUAGAUUUUGAGCACUAGAGAUUAAUGAGCUGUCCUUACAAAGAAGAGACACUCCCUUUUUUGACGGAAAGAGCCACUUCCUUUCCUAGAAUAACAUAUUUAACCAUUCUGUUUCAAUACACGCUAUGCCAUGCUGCUGUCAUAUCCCGGAAUUGUCUUAGAUAUAAUGAACUCGAGAAAAUAGUCGGAUUUGAUCAACCAUAUUUACAUGUUGUUUGUAUCGGUAUUGUAAAUAUCAGACUCUCAACUAGAAUAUCUUUUCGUUUACUCCAGUAUAUUUGGGGAGUAGUAUCUGAUGAAAUCUCAUAUCACCUUUGUUUCGAUCUAAAUGUUAUUUAUCUGUCCUAAAAUCUAGGGAGUGCACUGAGUUAGAAAAUAUGCAGAUACAUGUCAUGUUUAAAUUUCUUCUUCAUGUUGCUAUUUGAGUCAGUUUGCUGCCAGGAUAAUGUUCAGCAUUAGCAUCCAUGCAUAUGAAUUCUCCAGUGUCAUAAUCUAAAUAAUUAUGCUAGGAAAAUUGAGUAAAGGUUUUCUGCAAAUCUUUGCUCCUGGAAAGCUAGGGGGAACACAAAUGUUCUCGCUUUGAGAAAGUAUGACAGUGGGUCUAGAAUCUGUCAUAUUAUAAAGGUAUAUGUGGGACAUGUUCUGUAUAAUUCAUAAAUAGUUGUUAUGUCUAGGUGUUAAAUUUUUGAAUAAUAUGUAAAUCAGUGACAUACUAGCAUCAGUUGUUCGGUGAAUACUGCUUUCAUUUUAGGUUGGCCACCCGCGUUUGUUGAGCUCAUCUCUCAGGUGACCUGUUUGACGAGUCUGGUAUGUAGAAAGAUGAGAAAGUUGCUAUUAUCUCUACAAAUGUAAUUGAUCCUGCCAUAUUCGAUCAAGCUCUGAGAAUUUUUAUUCCACAUAUACCGGCUGGAACAUCUGCUUGGCCAAGCUUUGGUUUUGGGGACUGUUAUUUGGCAUCACUAUUUUAGCCUACAGCAAUCUGAAACACCACAUUCCUGGAUGAAUUUUCCUGCUCCCAUUCUGGCCUCCAUGGUCGGGUUCGUUCCUGCUCUUCUCAUAUUUUGGGCAUAUGAACAAACAAUUUUAGUUUUACAGUCACCAUAUUAUGGCCAUAGGUAUUGUCAUGUUCAUGUGAGCCUUUAAAAGAAAGGUGAUGAACUAAAUAAAAUUUGAAACUUUAUUGUCAGAGGAGAUGAAUAAAUUGUGGUAGUGACAUAGUGUAUAUGAGCAGUGACACAGUUUAGAACAUGAACAAUAGUGUAGACUCAGAUUUUUAUCAGGACAACUAGGAAAGAAGGGAAUCUGUUGUAUAUAUGUUAGCGAGGAAGUAUGCAGUGAUAUGUGCUAGGUAAACAUGCUUAAACGUGCAAGGAAUUUUUUCCCAAGAUGAUUGAGCAUGUCAAAAUUACGUUAUACAUGUCAAGAAUCCUUGAGUACAUCUAGAAGACAUGUACAACUUCAAUAUUCAAGGGUGAGAUUACUGACGGUAGAAACAAAGAUGAGUUUGUUCUAAAAAAAAAUUAACUUUGUGCAUUCAAUUUUGAUGAAAUAAUUACGAGGAGUUUAUUCUUGAAAUAUUAAUUAUUUAUUACGGAUGUUUAAGGCAAUUUCCCUCGCAUCAAAAUUUUUCUCAGCUACUUCUUUAUUCGGUGAAAUGCGACCAAGGUCAGAGGGACGAGUUCAAUGCCCAGUGGCUAUUUGAGAAAACAAAGGUACUGGAUGACCCUUUUCUUUGCUUUGGUUUUCCAUAUAUUUCUGAUGUUUUCCCUUGAUGUAUCUCGGUUCUUUGAUUGCUUACCAGGUAAGGUAUUGUCUUGAGUGCAUGCAUUAACCAAGAACACCAUAUUCAAGCUUGGGAUAUCUUAAUUCAGACCUUCUGUGAAGAUGAUUUUCUUUCAUUUAUUGUGUAUUUUCUAGAACAGAUGAUCCUCCACCACUUAUAUACAUGUUACUCUAAUUUGUCGUAAUCUGCAUGCUUUCCUGAUUCCUCGGUAUCAGUAGCUUGCAUCUCUUCUUUUCCUAUAUCUACAUCUCUUCCUUUCCUAUAUCAAAUUGCUAGGAUAAUUUAUGAACUUCCAAUAUAAUAAGUCAGCAGCACAAGUCGAUAUAUAUGUUGCUUGCAUUUCUCCUUUUAUGUGCUGAAGGUAAUCAUUUGCUCCUGCUUGUGUGUUCAAUUGUUGACCUUCUCUCUGUUUGGAGGGAUUCUCCAUGGAUUCUCCAUGGAUUCUUUUUGUAUGCUUAAAUUCUUGAUGGAAUAUGGUUUGAUCCCACCAUUAUUUUUUAGUUCUUGGAACCACACCAAAAUCCAACCGCAUGGACAUUUGAAGUAUUGAAGCAUGGAAAUUAAAUUCUUUUACAUGUAUGUGCAUUUGAUUUAAAAGACGAGGAAUUGCUUAUGUCUUAGGCAGCUGUAUACAUUUUUAUAAUACAAAAACUCUAGCUGUACAUUUGUAUUUUGAAAGACAUAAGUUGAAUAAUUUCUUUACUUCAUUCCACAUAAAUUUUGUAGGUUAUGGUAAGUUUGAACCAAUUAGCGAACCUGGUGGAAGUGCUUUGCCUGUUGUUGAUCAUAUAAAGGAAGACUUCCUGUUUUAUACCAUGUCCUUUGACUUAGAAUGUGUGCUUGAUUGUUGGUUUCCCAAACUGUUCUUAGUGCGAAUGCAUUGUUUCCUUCAAUUGGAUAAAUUUAUUUCGUGUUAGCACAAUGGCUAUUGAUGGUUUCAAGGCAUCCCAAUAGCUAUUGAUGGUUUCAAGGCAUCCCAAUAGCUAUUGAUGGUUUUAAGGCAAUCUCGGUAUACAAGUUGAACGCGGUGUUAAGUUUUGGUGGUGCACAUUUGCAGCGGUGUUAAGUUUUGGUGGUGCAAGUACCUAUUAAAUCUCUGUUCUUCUUGUGUUGUGGCCUCUAAAAACAAUGCCACGACAACGCCCAUAAAUAGCUUAUGUAGAUGUUGUUUUUGAUGUUGCUUUAGUUACUAUAAUAAUAUUCUUCUAUUUCCCUUAUUGUAUAUAAAGGUUUGCUAUUCCGUUCAUG